rnacentral:rRNA from 1 species
GACGAACGCUGGCGGCGUGCUUAACACAUGCAAGUCGAACGGAAAGGCCCUGCUUUUGUGGGGUGCUCGAGUGGCGAACGGGUGAGUAACACGUGAGUAACCUGCCCUUGACUUUGGGAUAACUUCAGGAAACUGGGGCUAAUACCGGAUAGGAGCUCCUGCUGCAUGGUGGGGGUUGGAAAGUUUCGGCGGUUGGGGAUGGACUCGCGGCUUAUCAGCUUGUUGGUGGGGUAGUGACUUACCAAGGCUUUGACGGGUAGCCGGCCUGGGAGGGUGACCGGCCACAUAGGGACUGAGAUACGGCCCAGACUCCUACGGGCGGCAGGAGUGGGGGAUAUUGCACAAUGGGCGGAAGCCUGAUGGAGCAACGCCGCGUGCGGGAUGACGGCCUUCGGGUUGUAAACCGCUUUCGCCUGUGACGAAGCGUGAGUGACGGUAAUGGGUAAAGAAGCACCGGCUAACUACGU